rnacentral:rRNA from 1 species
UACGGGGGGGGCAAGCGUUGUUCGGAAUUACUGGGCGUAAAGGGCUCGUAGGCGGCCAACUAAGUCGGACGUGAAAUCCCUCGGCUUAACCGGGGAACUGCGUCCGAUACUGGAUGGCUUGAGGUUGGGAGAGGGAUGCGGAAUUCCAGGUGUAGCGGUGAAAUGCGUAGAUAUCGUAAGGAAGACCAGUGGCGAAGGCGGGUCUCUGGACAGUUCCUGACGCUGAGACGCGAAGGCCAGGGGAGCAAACGGG